UACGUAGGGGGCUAGCGUUGUCCGGAUUUAUUGGGCGUAAAGAGCGUGUAGGCGGCCUGGUAGGUCUGCUGUGAAAACUCGAGGCUCAACCUCGAGAUGUCGGCGGAAACCAUCUGGCUAGAGUCCGGAAGAGGAGAGUGGAAUUUCUGGUGUAGCGGUGAAAUGCGCAGAUAUCAGGAAGAACACCUAUGGCGAAGGCAGCUCUCUGGGACGGUACUGACGCUGAGACGCGAAAGCGUGGGGAGCGAACAGG
rnacentral:rRNA from 1 species